rnacentral:rRNA from 1 species
UGAGGAAUAUUGGACAAUGGGCGAAAGCCUGAUCCAGCGACGCCGCGUGAGUGAUGAAGGCCUUAGGGUUGUAAAGCUCUUUUAGUGGGGAAGAUAAUGACGGUACCCACAGAAAAAGCCCCGGCUAACUUCGUGCCAGCAGCCGCGGUAAUACGAAGGGGGCUAGCGUUACUCGGAAUUAUUGGGCGUAAAGCGUGCGUAGGCGGCUUGGUAAGUUGGAAGUGAAAGCCCAGGGCUCAACCUUGGAAUUGCUUUCAAAACUGCCUGGCUAGAGUGUCAGAGAGGAUAGCGGAAUUCCUAGUGUAGAGGUGAAAUUCGUAGAUAUUAGGAGGAACACCGGAGGCGAAAGCGGCUAUCUGGCUGAAUACUGACGCUGUUGCACGAAAGCGUGGGUAGCAAACAGGAUUAGAUACCCCCGUAGUCC